rnacentral:rRNA from 1 species
CUGGCCGUAAACGAUGGGUACUAGGUGUAGGAGGUAUCGACCCCUUCUGUGCCGGAGUUAACGCAAUAAGUACCCCGCCUGGGGACUACGAUCGCAAGAUUGAAACUCAAAGGAAUUGACGGGGGCCCGCACAAGCGGUGGAGUAUGUGGUUUAAUUCGACGCAACGCGAAGAACCUUACCAAGGCUUGACAUUGAGUGAAAGGCUAAGAGAUUAGCCCCUCUCUUCGGAGACACGAAAACAGGUGG